rnacentral:rRNA from 1 species
GAUGAACGCUGGCGGCGUGCCUAAUACAUGCAAGUCGAGCGAACAGACGAGGAGCUUGCUCCUUUGACGUUAGCGGCGGACGGGUAAGUAACACGUGGAUAACCUACCUAUAAGACUGGGAUAACUUCGGGAAACCGGAGCUAAUACCGGAUAACAUGUUGAACCGCAUGGUUCAACAGUGAAAGACGGUCUUGCUGUCACUUAUAGAUGGAUCCGCGCCGCAUUAGCUAGUUGGUAAGGUAACGGCUUACCAAGGCAACGAUGCGUAGCCGACCUGAGAGGGUGAUCGGCCACACUGGAACUGAGACACGGUCCAGACUCCUACGGGAGGCAGCAGUAGGGAAUCUUCCGCAAUGGGCGAAAGCCUGACGGAGCAACGCCGCGUGAGUGAAGAAGGUCUUCGGAUCGUAAAACUCUGUUAUUAGGGAAGAACAAAUGUGUAAGUAACUAUGCACGUCUUGACGGUACCUAAUCAGAAAGCCACGGCUAACUACGUG